ACAGUACAAACUGAGCAGGCGAUGCCCGUAAGGGCGUGGGGCCGGGCCGCGUUGCAAGCGGCAACAGAAUGUGUUUUUUGAGCAUAUCUGUGGGACAGU
rnacentral:ncRNA from 1 species